rnacentral:misc_RNA from 1 species
GAUGAAGAACGUAGCGAAAUGCGAUAAGUAGUGUGAAUUGCAGAAUUCAGUGAAUCAUCGAAUCUUUGAACGCACAUUGUGCCCCUUGGUAUUCCAUGGGGCAUGCCUGUUCGAGCGUCAUUUCAACCAUCAAGCCCCGGGCUUGUGUUGGGGACCUGCGGCUGCCGCAGGCCCUGAAAAGCAGUGGCGGGCUCGCUGUCACACCGAGCGUAGUAGCAUACAUCUCGCUCUGGGCGUGCUGCGGGUUCCGGCCGUUAAACCACCUUUUAACCCAAGGUUGACCUCGGAUCAGGUAGGAAGACCCGCUGAACUUAAGCAUAUCAAUAAGCGGAGGA